rnacentral:rRNA from 1 species
GACGGAGGAGGCAAGCGUUGUCCGGAAUCAUUGGGCGUAAAGAGCGCGUAGGCUGUUUUUCAAGUCGUGUGUGAAAACCUCAGGCUUAACUUGAGGAUUGCAUAUGAAACUGGAAAACUUGAGUGCAGUAGGGGAAAGUGGAAUUCCUGGUGUAGCGGUGAAAUGCGCAGAUAUCAGGAAGAACACCGGUAGCGAAGGCGGCUUUCUAGGCUGCUACUGACGCUGAGGCGCGAAAGCUAGGGGAGCAAACAGG